rnacentral:rRNA from 1 species
AGAGAGAGACAUGCGCGCAUAUCAAUAAGCGGAGGAAAAGAAACUAACAAGGAUUCCCCUAGUAACGGCGAGUGAAGCGGGAAGAGCUCAAAUUUGAAAUCUUAAAGGGUUUCCCUUUACGAAUUGUAGUUUAAAGAAGUGUUUUCUGUUGAGGUUUUGGUAAAAGUUCUUUGGAAUAGGACAUCAUAGAGGGAUGAGAAUCCCGUAUUUGACCUUUACUUUCAACUUUGUGAUACACUUUCAAAGAGUCGGAUUGUUUGGGAAUGCAGUCCAAAAUGGGUGGUAAAUUUCAUCUAAAGCUAAAUAUUGGCGAGAGACCGAUAGCGAACAAGUACCGUGAGGGAAAGAUGAAAAGAACUUUGAAAAGAGAGUUAAACAGUACGUGAAAUUGUCAAAAGGGAAGCGUUUGACACCAGUGUUGCUUUUCUGAAAAUCAAUUAAAGAACUGUUUAUGCUAAGUUGUUUAGACUUUAUCAGCUAUCUGUUUAGUUUUGAGCUUUUCUUUAAUGCACUUUUCAGUUAACAAGUCAACAUCAAUUUCUUUUGCUGUAAAAAAGCUUGAGGAAGGUGGCUUGAGAUUCGUCUUAAGUGUUUAUAGCCUCUUGCCUAUGCAGUCGGAGAGAUUGAGGUCUGCAGCGUAGAUCCUUCGGGGCUAAAUGCAUUUGUGCUAAGUUAUAGCAUUUUAUAGACAACUUGUUGACUAUGAUUUGUCUUGUAGCUUACUCGCUUAUGUUAUUUUACCUACGCUUAGGAUGUUGAGCGCAUGUCUCUCUCU